AUAUCACUAACUACACUUACUGUCCAAUGAACCCAACCAAUAAACAAUAUCUGUUUAACAUUACAACUACUAAUAAAGCUGGGAAUGGAUCUACUAGUAAUAUAACUGUUGGAUUUCAAUCAGAUGCACAAGUAGUAGUUACAUAUAAUCACAGCAAUACAUAUAGAACAGAUAAUAAUUGGACCUUAAAUUAUCAAUUAUCAUGUAGUAAACCUGUUAUUAAUAAUGUAACCAGUUGCAAUGUGGACAAUAGCACUGACUGUUACUCUACAGAGAAUAUUGUAAUCAAUGAUUUAACUCUUACUGUAACAAUUGAACUCCCGCCUUGUAUGUCUUUUAAUAUUCAAGUCAUUUUAGAGUAUAAUAAUAAUGGACAGAUAUUUGAAAUUAAAAAUGA